GGUUUCAUGGUGUAGUGGUUAGCACUCCAGACUUUGAAUCUGGCGACUUGGGUUCGAAUCCCGGUGAGACCU
rnacentral:tRNA from 1 species